AUUGAACGCUGGCGGCAGGCCUAACACAUGCAAGUCGAACGAGUGGCGGACGGGUGAGUAAUGUCUGGGAAACUGCCCGAUGGAGGGGGAUAACUACUGGAAACGGUAGCUAAUACCGCAUACCAUCGGAUGUGCCCAGAUGGGAUUAGCUAGUAGGUGGGGUAAGGGCGCACCUAGGCGACGACCCCUAGCUGGGCUGAGAGGAUGACCGGCCACACGUGAAGUGUGAAACGGGCCAGACUCCGACGGGAGGCAGCAGUGGGGAAUAUUGCACAAUGGGCGCAAGCCUGAUGCCGCAAGUCCGCGUGUAUGAAGAAGGCCUUCGGGUUGUAAAGUACUUUCAGCGAGGAGGCGUUACUCGCAGAAGAAGCACCGGCUAACUCCGUGCCAGCAGCCGCGGUAAUAC
rnacentral:rRNA from 1 species